GUUCCCAGUGAUGCUUUAACCAUGCUAAUACUGAUAUUAUCUGACGAGCAAUAUAUUUUUAACUGAGGGAACC
rfam:Triticum aestivum genome assembly, contig: Triticum_aestivum_CS42_TGACv1_scaffold_080150_1DS